UCUGACCCUCCACUCCUGCUACUGUUGUUGAUAUUGCUGCUGACUCUCUGUUGUCAUGAUUGAUGUUUUGCUGACAGGCAUAUAAAUCAUGUCUGUUCAUAAUGGUUAAUGUCAGUAUUUGCAUGUAUUAGGCAUGUUCUUGCUCUAAAACACUUAGCACCAUGUGUGAUGCAUUCAUUCUGAUACCUUGGGGUUUUGUAGGGAGGGGAUGGGAAUUUGCAGUUUAUAGAUAUUACUGUUUGGGUAGUGGGGAGAAAAGAGGCUAUUGUUAGAAAACCAUUCAGAUGAAAAGGGAUGAACCUUGCAGCUGCAGCACAAUUCACUCAGACUACAAGACCCUACAGGAUAUAUUGUCUGGCCGACAGUAUAUCGGCAGCUGCAAAAUAAGAUGUAGUUAUAGUAUCACUGGAUUUUGAAGCUUACAGUUGUCUGUGAGUGAGAAAGAAAGAUGUUCCUCGGACCCAAUGGCUUUAUUUCCCCCCCCCACACACACCACCUUUUGUGAAUACCUGACCUUUUACUGAUUAUUUUUGAAGAAGGUGCAAUUCAUAUUUCAUACAUUUUAUCAGUCUCUUUUUUUCUUUAUUGGCCUGAAACAACCAAUAAACUAUUGUUAUUAUUUCUUAAUAUAAUUAUCAAUCAUGGCUCCUCUGUUUCUGUCCUAUCCAAAAGUUUUCUGAAGGGAGCAAUUUGUCCCAGAAUUUGGCAGCCUGGACAGCCUGAAGUUUAUACAAAUCCUCCUGUUGGGAAUGAAGUUUUGGCAGCUGAUAAAGUCACAUAGAGGCCCCACUUAUGUGCUGUAUGAAAUUCUUACUCUGCAUCUCUGGAAAUCGUAGAAUAUUUCUUUUCAUUGGCUGGGAACCCACAAUUUAGCACAUGUAUUAUGAACUCCAAACAAGGGCCUCUACCAUGCAUACAGCUGUGGCUGUGUCCCCCUGGCACAGGAGGUUCAGGUUUCCCUUCACCCUGUGGGCUUCUAGAAUGACAUCUCCCACCUUGUCCACGAGCAUCCUAACCCUGGUCACAGGCUCCAUCUCUCUUGUUGGAGGUGGUAGUUCUUUUUGUUUGUUUGCUUGUUUGUUUGUUUUUUUAAUGCCAAAAUUUAAAAUAUCUAUUGAACCAGAGAGACCAGAUGGGACUCCGACAUUUAAAUGUUAGUGAUUAAAGACUUCAUGCAUAGGUGAAGGGAGAACUGAGUGAACUGGGUUAUAGCCAGUAUUCUGAGAACAGUUUUACUGUUUGGCAUGAGAUAAAUCCUGGAUAAAAUAUGUGAAAUGCAAAAAUGAGAAAAGAUAUGUCUCACAGGAGGAAAAAUAUUUCACUUUUAUAAACGAAAUCAGAGGUAUUAUCAUAGUUCCCCGGUUCAUAUCAUUUUUUACAUAGUAUGCAGGUGACUUGCUUUUUGUGUACUAUAAUGCUGCAGUAGACUCUGAAAGUGUGAAACUGGAGCAAAUCAAACAAAUAAACCCAAAAUGAUUGAGACAUUUAACUGAUUCUACGUUUAUACAGCAAGUAUGAGAUUACUGUGAACACAGCCUACAUAGCUGUGAAUUUUUUGCAUGUGUUCUUUCAUUUUCAAGAGCAGAAAGUAGGAGGCAAGUUUAUUAAAGCUGAUAAGGGAGGUGGAGGAUUUUGCAGGAAUAUGCUUGAGCUCACUCACCUCUCCCAGACUUCCUUCUGUUAACUUUCUUGUGUCUCUACAAAUCCCAGAGGCUUUGGAGCUCAAUCCUUAGGCUGUAGUAGAGUAUUUAAGCAAAUAUUUUAAUAGCUUUUCAACUCUUGUUCAAACACAUGCAUUGCUCAGCAGCAGUUCAAGGGUUAAUAAAAACACACAAACAUAAUUUACUAUAAUUUUAUCAUUCAUGUAUAGAAUUAAGACAUUUUCAGCAACACAUAAGCCAUUUUGCAGUUCAUACAAUGUAGAAAAUGUCAGUUUAGGUGGCAAAUAAGUUAUGAAAACAUUGUUUUUCUCACAUGCUUUACACUGGAGGAUCUCAGUUCACCUUCUGUCAGGAAGGAGCAACAUUCUCGGAAGUGUCCCUUCAUGUUAGUGCUUAUUUAACUGCACACCUGGAGACUGCACAGCUCUGAUUCUUAAGCAAAGGAGACUUAACAGUUCAUGUUCUCUCUGGAUAUUUAGUUCUUUCUCCGAGGAAGGAGAGAAAAGGUUCUUAUCCAUCUUAAAAUUGGAUAUCCCAAAGUGAUAAUAUUUGAAAUCAAUGAAAAAAUUCACAUUCCUGUUAUGUUAGUUACAGAUCAGUAAACCCUCAUGACUGUUCCAUUAGUUUCAGCAAGUGCGGAAGUGCUCCUGAGCAGUUUGUGAAAAUAUUUUUAAAGUCAAGUUGCAUUGAAAUGCAACUGCUUAGGGAAUGAAGGCUAGGCACAGUAUAACCCAAAUGAGAAUUUGGUCUGGACAGAAUAGUAAGGAUUUAAAAUUCACUCUGGGCACUUUAAUGACUUUCCCUCAUUUACUUUAUGAUACUAGUGAUGUCAUUAAGAUCCUACUGCACAUGAAGUAAAUGGAAGGAAUCUACACAUGUGGGAGAACUAGGAGAACCUCAAAAGCAUGAAAGUCCAUGUGAGUUAUUUAAAUGUAUAUGCUCUUUACUGUGGGGUUGGAAAAAAAUAUGCAAGCAGCCACUCUUGAAACAUCAGAAAUUCUGCUUUCAGCUUCUCUUCUGGCAAUUCUGGAACUUCAUAUAGUUUCUGGUUUGAAUUUAAGGCUCUAGAUGAAGUUCAGAAGUGUCCCUAUUUCUUCCAAUUUGGCUUGUUCAGCUCUUUCACUUAAAUGAGUUUUUAUUGGUUUAUUUUGUAUGAGCUGAUGGCAUUGAUAAUAACUAAACAUCCUCAUUUGUUAUUUCUCUCUAAUAGACAUAUUCCCAAGUUAAAAGGCAGAUGCAAGUUUGAUAUAGCAUUAAUUUGCACAGCUCUCAUUAUUUUGUCUGAAUAGAUUAAACCCAAAACUCCAGAUUAGAAAACCUCUCCAGCAUGGGAUAAGUGUGGGCAGUAGUUCAGACUCACUUCUACUCAGUGUUAAAUCACGCAUUCUAUUUUUAAGAUAAAAUUUAAAGAAUCCAGUGGUUUGUUAUUUCAUGUGAAUAAAAGCUGCUGUAUUAUGAUGGCUUAAGUACAUGUCAUACCUUAUUCAGAUGUAUCCCCUAAGUGGUUUAUAUUUACUCUGUAAAGUUUAUCCCAUACAGAUUGUUUAUAUUCACCUCUGUUAAUGACAGAAAGUUUACCAAUAAACCAAAGACCUGUGCUUUCAGAUAGUUUAAGUCAAGGAUUUUUAAACAUGACUCCAAUUUAUAAUUCCUCUACUUCAAUACUGGAACAAGAUGGCUAAACUUAGGCAAGUAAAAAUCAUGUAAUGUUUCUGUUUAAUUUCCUUGGCAGUAGAGAUGAAACUUCUAGACUGAAAUGAUAUUGUAUGACAUCUGAACCAACAGCCUGGCUAAACAGUCUUUUCCUUCACUUUUGGCUGUCUGGAUCAAUUCUUUGAUGAGUUUGCUAACAAAGAGCAAGACUGAUUGUAAUCUAGAAUCAUAGAGUCAUAGAAUAUCCUGAGUUGGAAGGUAUCCACAAGAAUCAUAGAGUCCAACUCCAUCUCUACCAUGUUAUUUGUACAUGAGUGUAAUUCUACUGACUUUGGUUACUUUACUCCUGAUUUACACCAUUGUAAGCAAGGAUCUCAGUUCUUGUCCAUAUCAGCAGAUGCAUAUUUAACGUGAGGAUCGUGGUCACGUACCUGUAAACAAAGAGAGAAAUAAAAUCUUAUUCUGAUCACUUCUAAUCUUGGAGUGACUGUUUACACUGCCUAUUUAAAAAAGUAAUUUUAAGUAUAAUUCCAUAAAUAAUAAACACAGUAUUCCAGGUCCUUUUCCAGAGAGAGUAUAUUUAGCAAAAGGAAGGAAUGUUGAGGUCCACCUGUAAAAUUAUUUGUCCCUAUAAGAACAACAUGCAUAUGUUCUACAUCACAUUUGGGCCCAGUUUCUAUGGCCCAGAACCAAAGUAAACACAUUUUUCUGAUGUAAUUGUUGAUUCUAGUUGAAUUAGUGCAAUGCAGUCAUAGCUGUGAGAAACAUUUUAUUUGGACCAGCUCUUAACCAGAACUCAGAGAGGUUGCCUACCUGGCAAACCAGCAACAGUAGCUUGUUUUCACAAAGUUCUCCAAGUUUUGUACUCAGAGGAGCAUAUAAAAACAUUUUAAAGCAUGGGCUGUGGUUCUUCUCCAACUGACACUUGAGUAAAUCAGAAGUAACUACAACGAAGUCAAAUGCAGCCCUCCUAGUAUAUACGGGAUAGGCUUUAUGUUCGACUCCCUUGCUGUUUUCUACUCUGAUGUACUUAGCACUUUGAGGAACAUACUCAUAUCAUAGAAUCAUAGAAUGGUUUGGGUUGUAAGUGACCUUAAAAAUCAUAUAGUUCCAACCCCCCUGCCAUGGGCAGGGACACCUCCCAAUAGACCAGAUUGCUCAAAGCCCCAUCCAACCUGGCCUUGAACACCUCCAGGGACAGGCCAUAUACAGCUUUUCUGGGCAACCCUAGGCCUCACAACCCUCAGAGUAAAGAAUUUCUUCCUUACAUCUAAUCUAAGUCUACCCUCUCUUAGUUUAAAGCUGUUACUCCUUGUCCUGUCACUGCACUCCCUGAUAAAGAGUCUCUCCCCAAAUGUACGGUUUGGGGUCACAUACCAUGAUAGUUUUACUCCUCCCUUCAUUUCCCGAGUGCACAUGCUGGCCACCAGACCAAUGUGUACCAAUAGUAAUAAUAACUUGAUCUUACUAUCUGGAUGCUUUGCCAAAAAUGCCUACGUUGCACUAACUAGUUUGAAAUCAUACCAUUAUAUGCAGUCUAAACUGUCCUAAUUCACAUGCUUAAAAAAGGAGGGAAAGUAAGAGAGAAAUGUAGAUUUUUUUCAACCAGCACAGCAAUAGCAACUACUUUAUAAAUUAUAUACUUUUGAAGGAAAAAGAAUAAAAUUACAACAGAAAGAUAUUUUUUUUUCCAAAGUUUUAAUAACUACACAUCAUGUAGAUGUACUAAAGUCAGCAAAGCUCUCUGUUUUGACUUUGGGAGGCUCAGGGUUUAACUAAGUUUUAGAGGGAUAAAAAACCUCAUUCCUCUGAAGAUAGGUGUAUUAAUAAGUAAGCCAUAGGUAAGCAACUGAGGUUUGAGCAACCCAGGAAUAAACCCACAAAAAUGGUGUCUGACUAAAACUAUUUACAAAAUCAAAGUGCUAUUUUGUACAUAUUUUCUGGUAUGAAAGAGAUUGCACAUUCGAUUUACUUCUUUUUGUUUUGUUUUGUUUAAAUAUGGUUUAAAAUCACUUCUUAAACUGUAUCUUUCAAAACUAUUUUCAAUAUUUUAUUAUUUUAUUACUAUUUGCUAUUUAUUAUUUGCUGAUUU
ensembl:lncRNA